UCCCUAAAACACAGGGUCCUCACUAUGCUGAGGGUCCUCAUCCACCCUCUUUCCCCAGAGAAAUAGGCAAUAAAUGCUUGGGUAGGCAAGCAGGGGGGAUGCCAUUGGUGGGGUUCACCGAUUGCAGGGGUAACCAGGCCCUCCCCACUGCCCUUGUAACUAUAGCGACCAAGCCAAAGCGUCCUCCAGACCCCCCAGUAGGAAUUCCAGUCUCAGUGCUGAAUGCACUCGGACAAAGCCAACACACUGGCUGCCUGGGCUGGCUUCAGGGAGCCCUUCCAGCAUAGUUGAGGAAUGCCAGAGAUCUGCUACAGGGGACACACACAUACGAUCCCAAAUCCCUUGCCAUCCAAAGGCCCAGAACAGCUCUACUGGUUGCCCUCGAGUGCUGGCAGAGGACCCGUAGAAGGGAUCGUUGUGGGCACAUGCUGCACUGGGUGGAGCCAGGAGUUCUCAUCAUCUCAAAACACACUGGCACAUUAAAAAGCACCUCUUCUUCCAUGGCCCGCUGCUCCAACUGGGGCAGCGUCUCCUUUUAAAGGGAUCGAGGGCACCCUCUGGCCCAGGUCAGUGAUGGUGGAUUCUGUCCCUGAAGGCCCUGGACUCUGCUGUGUCUGGCAAAGCAACGAUUGGGACAAUGAGCAUCACAGGGUAUUGGUACCCAGUAGUCACCAGGUGUCACCAGCCGAGGACUGCCGGCUCCCCUGGGUCCCCAGAGCUCAGGAAGACGCUAAAACCCGUGGGCCUGGCUGGCCAGCCCAUCCUGACCCUGCAGCCUUCUCUUCAGGAUGAGAGGCCUGCCCUGUUUUCUGGGACACCCACCCCAGCGGCCGACUAUUGACCUGGGACUCUUAUCACUCGUCUUGAGGAAAUCACACUCCACUCUUGGGGAAGCACAGCUAAACAAAUCGGCACCUACCCCCCCCCCCAUGACACGUGGUUACUCGCUCUGAGUCUAUUGUGUCCUCUGUCAAAUAGGAGUAACAGCUCCAGCCUCGUGAGAAUUUACCGGGUACUUGUACUUUGCUCCAUGGAUCUGAAGAUCUGAAUGGCGCCAAGAAUGUUAAUUAGCAGGGCCUGGGGGUGGCGAUAGGGGUGGGAGAUAGGGGAGUGAGCUGUGAAGAGGAGUCAGGCAGGCAGCAGACUGGGACUGGUUCACCCAGGAGCCCACCCAACUCCAGCACUAAUCCUGAAGCUGCCACCUAGUGGUCCUGUGCAGAAUGCAGUGGACAGAGCGAGCCUGGAGCAUGGGUUGUCAUAAGAGGCCAAGGAGUUCAGGGACACAUCUGAGAACAAGAGCUGGCUGCUAGUGGCUGACUUAGUAGAACUAACACAUCAGAGAGGAGUACAGGGGUGAGAGCAUAGAUACCAGUUCAAAUCCCCAGCACCCACUCUCCAGCUCUUGUGACUAAGUCACUUAGUGUCCCUAAGCCUCAUUAACUUCCAAGUUGAAGAAUAAGAAGAGGAAGAGGAAGAGGAAGAGGAAGAAGAAGAA